rnacentral:rRNA from 1 species
GACGAACGCUGGCGGCGUGCUUAACACAUGCAAGUCGAACGGAAAGGCCCUGCUUUUGUGGGGUGCUCGAGUGGCGAAUGGGUGAGUAACACGUGAGUAACCUGCCCUUGACUUUGGGAUAACUUCAGGAAACUGGGGCUAAUACCGGAUAGGAGCUCCUGCUGCAUGGUGGGGGUUGGAAAGUUUCGGCGGUUGGGGAUGGACUCGCGGCUUAUCAGCUUGUUGGUGGGGUAGUGGCUUACCAAGGCUUUGACGGGUAGCCGGCCUGAGAGGGUGACCGGCCACAUUGGGACUGAGAUACGGCCCAGACUCCUACGGGAGGAAGCAGUGGGGAAUAUUGCACAAUGGGCGGAAGCCUGAUGCAGCAACGCCGCGUGCGGGAUGACGGCCUUCGGGUUGUAAACCGCUUUCGCCUGUGACGAAGCGUGAGUGACGGUAAUGGGUAAAGAAACACCGGCUAACUACGU